rnacentral:rRNA from 1 species
UACGUAGGCAGCAAACGUUGUUCGGAAUUACUGGGCGUAAAGAGUGUGUAGGCGGUUAGGUAAGUUUGGUGUGAAAUCUCCCGGCUUAACUGGGAGGGUGCGCCGAAAACUGCCUGGCUUGAGUACUGGAGAGGAUAGCGGAAUUCCUGGUGUAGCGGUGAAAUGCGUAGAUAUCAGGAGGAACACCUGCGGUGUAGACGGCUAUCUGGACAGUAACUGACGCUGAGACACGAAAGCGUGGGGAGCAAACAGG